rnacentral:lncRNA from 1 species
GGUGGGCCUUCUGCCCGCAGUUCCCGCCUCCUCAGGUCCGGGCGGGUCCCUGGCCGGGGUAGCACGGAAGGGUCUCCCAGGCGGCGUAGUAGGGCUUCCGUGUUACUGGAAACCUACUUCCGGCUGCAAAUGGGAAAAGGAGCCUCUACCUUAACCAAUCCCCGGGAACCUCAGGCCCGCGGAUGGGAGAAACCAGAGAUGCCAACUUCCUGCUUCCGAAGUAGUGGCUGGGUCUUAAAGCACCGAUGUUUCUGCAUUGAAUAGCCCUGGAAGACAGAAUUCUUGUCUCUCCAAAGAUCUGGCAGACUUAUUCCCAAUUAUAAGAGAUCCUUGCAAAGGAGGUGUCUUGCUUCACCUUCACCUUCCACUGUGAUUGUAAGUUUUCUGAGGCCUCGCCAGCCAUGCGGAACUUCACGUCUGAUGCUGGAUGUGCAGGAGUUUCUCCCCACCAACAACUGAUUGCCAGUGAACACCAGCUGG